rnacentral:lncRNA from 1 species
UCUAAGCAGACUUCCUAGGUAGCUCUGAAACAGGUGGUCUGUAGACCACACUUUAAGAAUUAUCUUCAAGGAUUGGGCUAGUUUUAGUUUGUAGUGAUUUCUUGUGUCUCUUAAUGAAGGCCUAGACAAUAUAGUCUGGAUUGAUUGGAUAAACACAGAGGAACAAGAGAGCGGCAGAAUUGUACCAUGCAUGCAGCAGGCCAUGCUCUACACGGGCCUCUCAGGAUGCAGCAGAGAGACACUGAAACUGGACAUUGUAGAAGAUGAAUUAUGAGAGUGAUUUAUGAAAGAAAGACAGUGGAGAAUUGCAAUCGAUGGAGACAUUCAAAGAAAAGACUUUGGCACUACAUCAAAAGAGAGUAGAAUAAAUGACGAAACUAAAGCACAAAGAGAUUAAAGAACUUAUCCAAGGUCAUGCAGCUGGAAAGAAGUGGAUUUGGGAUUGUGAACAUCACAAUUUCACAAACUACAUUUCAUGAUGGGUAGAGCUAGUCAAACGUCUGAAAAUAAAGUUUGGUUUAAAGAUGACCAUCGUCUUGUUAAGAAAUUAUAUAAAUGAGUAUCACUAAAAAGUCUCUCUUUAAACUCACCAAGCACUCUUCACUAUGGACAAGAAAGUGUGAAUAUGGUUAUUUUUUAUUUAAUAUUUUCAUGAUGAUUAACUGAAGGAUCUGACAGUAAAUAGUCUUUGGGUCUUUUUAAACUAAAACUCCUGUUGUUGUUGAUAGCAAUUGAUGCAAUUGAUAGUAAUGUGCUGUAUCCCUCAGAUGUAUUCCAGCUGAAGAAGGUGGAGAGCCACUAAAAUUUAUUGUUCUAUGUCAUUUUUCCAAAUCAUCUUUUGAUGACUGUCCAUCUACAUAUUGCUCAGUGGCUUUAUAUUUAGAACAUUAUUUGGGAAAUUGUAAUUUCAAAUAUUUUAACCUAUAAAUAUUCAAUGAAGCCUUGGCAAUGAAGAGUAAGACUUUAUAAAACCUUGAAUAUAUGAAUAGCACAGUUCUGGUUAUCUAUGUAACAACAUCCCCCAUAGUAACCUAAAACAAUGACAUUACUAUAUCCCAUGAUUCUGUGGAUUGCCUGGGCUUAGGUGGUAAGUUCUCAGGGUGUUGCUCAUUGUCACACCCAGAUAGCAGCUAGAACUAGAGUCAUCUGCAAACUCCUUUUUCUUGUGUGGACCAUCCAAGGUAGGUUUCUCAUGCACAUAUCUAGUGCUUUGGUGCUUCUUGGCCUCUCUCUUUCCACAUUGUAUCUCAUCUUCCUGGCCUCUCCACAUGGCUUGGGCUUCUUGUUGCAUGGUGUUACGAGGUACUCACACUGCUAACACAGUAGCUGACUUUCAAGAUACACAAAUUGGACCCUUUUAGACCAAUUAAGGGCUAUGGUGAAACUGGAGCAGUAUCACUCUCAUUGUAUUCUAUUGGCCAAAGUAGCAGAGGGCCUGAUCAGACCCAAAGAGGUAGAGAAAUAGAUUCUACUUCUCAAUGGGGGAGUACCAAGUUCAUAUUGCACAAGGGGAUGUAGAAUGGGAACUAUUGUUGUUAUCAUUAGGUAAUACAGUCUGCCUAAAGUACUAUAUCACCUAAUUAGACUUGCUUUGCACAUGAUGACCAGGAGGAAACAAGAUACUGUUUUGGAAUGUACUCACUAAGCAGCUGCCUAGAUGCUGCUUACCUAACAAGUGCCUUGUUUCCACUCAAGGUCAUGGAUCUUUGGGAGUCUAAUAAGAGUGAUGAAAAAUUAUUCAUAGGUCUCCUUCCUUUACUAUACAAUCCUCGCUGCUAAGAGAAAGAUGGGCAAAGGACCUGGGAUGGAUAUCUUUGUGAAUCUAUCAAUAAUGGAUAAAAUAUCUCAUUUGUCUGCUUUCCUUAUUAUCUAAUUCUUCCCUCUUAGAGGAGUCUGAGCAAAGGAGCCUAGACUGGGUGUAUGGUGGAGAGUCAGUAACUAGGAGUAGAAUCUAAAUCAAAUCAAUAGUGUCCUAGUUAACCAAAUCAAAGAGUAAAUGUACAGAAACACAGGAAACCAUGCAGGGUAAUCAAGACUAAAAUUCUGGGUUAUAAGGAACAGCCUAAAACAAUUCUGAGUUGCAAAAUAAAUGGCACCAAUAAUCUUAUACUAAAUUUCAGAAUGUUAGGAUAGGCCUUAUUCUGCUUAAGAUCAGAAUUGGUUCAAGAUACUGGGUUGGAGUUGAACUAGAAGGUUGUAGGUUGGUAGCCCCAGCUAGAAGGAGAGGCCUAGGAGGAUGCCAAGGAGUAAUUGGUAAGUUGCAAAUGUUGAGUUCCUACCAUGGACUUCUGCAGCAAUUGGUGACUGAUUUGUUAGAUGUUGCAGAGAGACUCAAAACAACUAUCAAUCAUCCUGUUAAUUAAAAAUAUUCAUUGGAUUU